rnacentral:rRNA from 1 species
AUGGAAGCGGCUCUCGCGAGUGUCCUGACGGGGGCCCUGAAAGCCGUCAUCGGGAAGCUGGCCACCCUGUUGGGUGACGAGUACAAGCAUGUCAAGGGGGUGCGCAAGGAGAUCAAGUCCUUGAAUAAUGAACUAUCCUCCAUGGAUGCUUUUCUCAUGAAGAUGUCAGCGGAGGAGGAUCCGGAUAUGCAAGAUAAAGUUUGGAUGAAUGAGGUACGGGAGCUGUCCUAUGACAUAGAUGAUUUCAUAGACGACUUUUUGAAAUAUAUCAAUGCUGAAGACACUAAGCUGGAUAGCUUCAUGGAGAAGAUCAAGUUCUUCCUGGGAAAGAUGAAGACCCGGCGCCAAAUUGGCAAAGAAAUUGAAGAUUUGAAGAAACAAAUUAUUGAGGUCGGCGAGAGGAAUGCAAGGUACAAGAUUCAUGAGACCUUCUCCAAGACCCUCAGUACAUCUGUUGACCCUAGAGCUCUUGUUAUCUUUGAGCAUGCAUCAAAACUAGUUGGAAUGGAUGCACCAAAAAAUGAGAUAAUCAAACUGUUUAAAGAAGAAGAUGGACAUGUGCCAACAAAAUCACUAUUAAAGAUAGUCUCCAUUGUUGGAUCUGGAGGAAUGGGCAAGACGAACUCUUGCAAACCAAGUGUGUCAAGAGCUAAAAGGAAAAUUCAAUUGUCAGGCUUUCAUAUCAGUGUCACGAAAUCCAGACAUGAUGACUAUCCUAAGAACUAUUCUUAG